rnacentral:lncRNA from 1 species
GGGGGGGGUUAACCCUAGCUGGACCUGGCACCCAGACCACUUCAUUAAGCUGGUCUGGGUGCCUAUAGUGGUCCUUUAGUGGAGGCUACCCAGUGGUGCAUUCUCUUAAAGAUUUUCUCUGUGGUUUUCAUACAAGAUACAUAACUACCUAUGUUCUAAUUGGUCUCGGUUCGGGAACUGAACAAAACUGGUACAUGAUGGUAUAUAGCCGAAACAGUGAUGGGGUUUUCCUUCACACACUUUAUUUACUUACCUGAUCCCAGUGCUGAUGUCUCUCGGCGCUGGGUCUGAUGCGCAUGCCCGGCAAAUGCUGCGUGUGCAUUAGACCUCCCCUAUAGGAAAGCAUUGAAUCGAUGCUGGAGGUCCUCAUGCAGAGCGUGAGGACGUCCAGCGUCACAUAACGGCUGUCUGGUAGGCUAAGGGCAGACUUAGUGACGCAAUGUUUCUCUGAAACUAGGUGUAAAAGGGACACAGCACCCAGACCACUUCAAUUAGCUGAAGUGGUCUGGGUGCCUACAGUGUCACUUUAAUAAAUCAAAGGGACUGUCCAAUUUAUCUUGGUGAAAUGCUUUGUGUGAAGAUUUUUAUUAUGAUUUCAUUUUACAAAAAGUGUAGAUUUCAAUAGCAAUUCUCACUUUAAUAAAUUAACCUGGUUAUACCGGCGUCUGUCUGACACUGUCCUGUUACUUCCUGGUUUGGUUAGCUCUGUGGAGCUAAACUCAAGUGGCAUCAAUUCUUGCAAAGACUUCUCAUUGAGCUGUAUUGGGUAGUCUGUGAUUGGACAGCUACCGAAAGUCUGUGCGGAGUUGUAGCAAACUCACCCCUUUAACCCCUUAAGGACCAAACUUCUGGAAUAAAAGGGAAUCAUGACAUGUCACACGUCAUGUGUCCUUAAGGGGUUAAGAGAGUUUGCCAUGAGCUUUUGGGGGUAUUGUCAUUUAAAGACCGUAUUUGGGCGUAUUGUACUGCACUGUUUCUGGCCCUUUAAGUACUCUGGGAAAAGGCCUGCAGCUUUGUUAUGGCACUUCGGAUGCAGCUGAAGUAAUCGGAGUGUCCGCCAUUCGACAGCCGAACACGUGGUUCAUUCGCACGUGGUCAGUUCAUUUGCAUUUUAGUUCAUUCGCACGUGGUCAGUUGUGUUUUGCCGUCAAUUUCAUGGAACUGAAAUCGGCUACUUGAUGGCACGAACACCGCUGAAGUUUAUCUUCUCAUCCACUUUGGCUAAAGUCGAAGUACGUUCGACAAAUCAAACGCCAGGUUAUGCUGUACUAUUUGUACAAACGGCCCCAUUCGUGCAUUCGAAUGAGACUUAGACAUUUUUCUUGUAUGAAAUUGACCGACCGCACAGCCCAAAUCUAUGGAACUGUUUUGGGCAGAAAAGGACUCCCGACUAACUUUUGAACUACUGGAGGCAUUUGUAUGAUUUUUGAGUGUGUGUGCUGAUUCUGAAAAUGUUUUAUGUGAAUGGCAUGUAUAUUUUGGAAGUUAUUAAAGGACCACUCUAGGCACCCAGACCACUUCAGCUUAAUGAAGUGGUCUGGGUGCUUGGUCCAGCUAGGGUUAACCCAUU